AUGAACGCUGGCGGCGUGCCUAAUACAUGCAAGUCGAGCGAACGGACGAGAAGCUUGCUUCUCUGAUGUUAGCGGCGGACGGGUGAGUAACACGUGGAUAACCUACCUAUAAGACUGGGAUAACUUCGGGAAACCGGAGCUAAUACCGGAUAAUAUUUUGAACCGCAUGGUUCAAAAGUGAAAGACGGUCUUGCUGUCACAUAUAGAUGGAUCCGCGCUGCAUUAGCUAGUUGGUAAGGUAACGGCUUACCAAGGCAACGAUGCAUAGCCGACCUGAGAGGGUGAUCGGCCACACUGGAACUGAGACACGGUCCAGACUCCUACGGGAGGCAGCAGUAGGGAAUCUUCCGCAAUGGGCGAAAGCCUGACGGAGCAACGCCGCGUGAGUGAUGAAGGUCUUCGGAUCGUAAAACUCUGUUAUUAGGGAAGAACAUAUGUGUAAGUAACUGUGCACAUCUUGACGGUACCUAAUCAGAAAGCCACGGCUAACUACGUG
rnacentral:rRNA from 1 species